UGGGGAAUUUUGGACAAUGGGCGAAAGCCUGAUCCAGCAAUGCCGCGUGUGUGAAGAAGGCCUUCGGGUUGUAAAGCACUUUUGUCCGGAAAGAAAUCCUUGGCUCUAAUACAGUCGGGGGAUGACGGUACCGGAAGAAUAAGCACCGGCUAACUACGUGCCAGCAGCCGCGGUAAUACGUAGGGUGCAAGCGUUAAUCGGAAUUACUGGGCGUAAAGCGUGCGCAGGCGGUUUGCUAAGACCGAUGUGAAAUCCCCGGGCUCAACCUGGGAACUGCAUUGGUGACUGGCAGGCUAGAGUAUGGCAGAGGGGGGUAGAAUUCCACGUGUAGCAGUGAAAUGCGUAGAGAUGUGGAGGAAUACCGAUGGCGAAGGCAGCCCCCUGGGCAAUACUGACGCUCAUGCACGAAAGCGUGGGGAGCAAACAGGAUUAGAUACCCUGGUAGUCCACGCCCUAAACGAUGUCAACUAGUUGUUGGGGAUUCAUUUCCUAGUAACGUAGCUAACGCGUGAAGUUGACCGCCUGGGGAGUACGGUCGCAAGAUU
rnacentral:rRNA from 1 species